rnacentral:lncRNA from 10 species
CCACACACCAAAAACCCACCUGUACAUCAUCACCAUCAUCAAAGACCAAAAGUAGAUAAAACCACAAAGAUGGGGAAAAAACAGAACAGAAAAACUGGAAACUCUAAAAAUCAGAGCGCCUCUCCUCCUCCAGAGGAACGCAGCUGCUCACCAGCAACGGAACAAAGCUGGACGGAGAAUGACUUUGAAGAGCUGAGAGAAGGCUUCAGACGAUCAAAUUACUCUGAGCUACGGGAGGACAUUCAAACCAAAGGCAAAGAAGUUGAAAACUUUGAAAAAAAUAAAUGUACAUUAAUUAACGUGGAAUCUGGUGAACAGUAACAAACUUUGGUGAAAUUUCAGGAACCAUAGCCAUUGAAGUGGAUGAGGGAACCUAUAUACAUGCACUCAACAAUGGUCUUUUUACCCUGGGAGCUCCACACAAAGAAGAAUCGCCCUGAAACCUGGCUAUGGAAAAUAUCUUAGUAUAAAUUCAGAUGAACUUGUUGUUGGCGUUCAGAUGCAAUUGGACCAAGAGAACAAUGGGAACCAGUCUUUCAAAAUGAUGGCCAUCCAGUAAUGAGAAUGAACAGUCUCCAACUAAAGGCAACAAUAUAGAUGAAUCUCGGAAACAUGAUAUUGACCAGACAGAAAAGAUUCCACUUACAUAAACUUCAAAAGAAGAUAAAACUGAUCUAUGACAUUAAUAGUCAGAAUAUUCAUUAUCCUUGAGGGAACUAAACUGGGAAGCCACAUGAUAGGGCAUCUGGAAGCUAGUAAUGUCCUCUUUCUUGAUCUGUUACAUUGGUGUGUUUAUUUCAUUAGAUUUAUUGAGCUAUACAUUUACCACCGUGUACUUGUCUCUGUAUAUGUUUUGCAUUGAAAUAAAUUUUACCAAUAAAAUGAUAAAGCAAAAUAAA